ACAGGUUAUAAGCCCUGUUCAGCCACUCUGCUGAAUCUCCCCCACAAUCCAGUCUGCAACACCAACAAGGCACCAAAGGCACACAUGAAAAACAAACAACAGGCAUUUACUGGAGCAAUCUGAGCACAACUGCACCAGCUUCCCACAGCCCUCCUGUCCGGAGCCCGGAGCCCCAGACUGCUGCUCAGGAACAACUGGGGUUCGGGGGGACCUUACUGGAGCUGAUCCUUCAAGGCACCGACAAAAUCACUCCAGAAUGAGCAGUGAAACACACACCAGGGCUGCGAG
rnacentral:lncRNA from 1 species